GGAGGAUUAGCUCAGCUGGGAGAGCAUCUGCCUUACAAGCAGAGGGUCGGCGGUUCGAUCCCGUCAUCCUCCACCA
rnacentral:tRNA from 388 species